GAUGAAGAACGUAGCGAAAUGCGAUAAGUAAUGUGAAUUGCAGAAUUCAGUGAAUCAUCGAAUCUUUGAACGCACCUUGCGCCCUUUGGCCAUUCCGAAGGGCAUGCCUGUUUGAGUAUCAUGAACACCUCAACUCUUCAUGGUUUUCCAUGAUGAGCUUGGACUUUGGGGGUCUUGCUGGCCUGUGGGUCGGCUCCUCUCAAAUGAAUCAGCUUGCCGGUUUUUGGUGGGCAUCACAGGUUUGAUAACUAUCUACGCUUGUGGUUUUCCACCAGGGUAACCUUCAGCAGUGGAGGUUCACUGGAGCUUACAAAUGUCUCUCCUCUGUGAGGACAGCCCUUUGAAUGUUUGAUCUCAAAUCAGGUAGGACUACCCGCUGAACUUAAGCAUAUCAAUAAGCGGAGGA
rnacentral:misc_RNA from 1 species